UGGGGAAUAUUGCACAAUGGAGGGAACUCUGAUGCAGCGACGCCGCGUGAACGAAGAAGGCUUUCGAGUCGUAAAGUUCUUUUAUAUGGGAAGAUAAUGACGGUACCAUAAGAAAAAGCCCCGGCUAACUACGUGCCAGCAGCCGCGGUAAUACGUAGGGGGCUAGCGUUGUCCGGAAUCACUGGGCGUAAAGGGUUCGCAGGCGGAAAUGCAAGUCAGGUGUAAAAGGCAGUAGCUUAACUACUGUAAGCAUUUGAAACUGCAUAUCUUGAGAAGAGUAGAGGUAAGUGGAAUUAUUAGUGUAGCGGUGAAAUGCGUAGAUAUUAAAAAGAAUACCGGUGGCGAAGGCGACUUACUGGGCUCAUUCUGACGCUGAGGAACGAAAGCGUGGGUAGCAAACAGG
rnacentral:rRNA from 1 species